rnacentral:rRNA from 1 species
GACGAACGCUGGCGGCGUGCUUAACACAUGCAAGUCGAGCGGAGCGGCGGACGGGUGAGUAAUAUCUAGGAAUCUGCCUGGUAGUGGGGGAUAACGUUCGGAAACGGACGCUAAUACCGCAUCCUCUCAGAUGAUCCUAGGGCGGAUUAGCUAGUUGGGGAGGUAAUGGCUCAACAAGGCUACGAUCCGUAACUGGUCUGAGAGGAUGAUCAGUCACACUGGAACUGCGACACGGUCCAGACGCCUACGGGAGGCAGCAGUGGGGAAUAGUGGACAAUGGGCUAAAGCCUGAUCCAGCCAUGCCGCGUGUGUGAAGAAGGUCUUCGGAUUGUAAAGCACUUUAAGUUGGGAGGCGUUACCGACAGAAUAAGCACCGGCUAACUCUGUGCCAGCCGCCGCGGUAAUUA